rnacentral:rRNA from 1 species
AGUUGAGCGUCUCCAGCUAUGUGGAGGCGCGGCGUACGGCUCAGUAACACGUGGCUAACCUACCCUCAGGACGGGGACAAACCCGGGAAACUGGGGCUAAUACCCGAUAGGCGAGGAUGCCUGGAAUGGUUUUUCACCCAAAAGAUUUUGAGAGCAUGCUUUUUAAAGUCGCUUGGGGAUGGGGCCGCGUCCGAUCAGGUUGUUGGUGAGGUAACGGCUCACCAAGCCUAUAACCGGUACGGGCCGUGAGAGCGGUAGCCCGGAGAUGGGCACUGAGACAAGGGCCCAGGCCCUACGGGGCGCAGCAGUCGCGAAAACUCCGCAAUGCACGAAAGUGUGACGGGGCUACCCCGAGUGCCGUCCGCUGAGGAUGGCUUUUCCUCGGUGUAACUAGCCGGGGGAAUAAGGAGAGGGCAAGACUGGUGUCAGCCGCCGCGGUAAUACCAGCUCUCCGAGUGGUAGGGAUGAUUAUUGGGCUUAAAGCGUCCGUAGCUGGCUUAGCAAGUCUUCUGUUUAAUUCAGCGACCUAAUCGUUGAGCCGCGGG